rnacentral:rRNA from 1 species
CCUACGGGAGGCAGCAGUGGGGAAUCUUGCGCAAUGGGCGAAAGCCUGACGCAGCGACGCCGCGUGGGGGAAGAAGGCCCUCGGGUUGUAAACCCCUCUCGGCAGGGAAGAAGCCGCAAGGUGACGGUACCUGCAGAAGAAGCCCCGGCCAACUACGUGCCAGCAGCCGCGGUAAU